AGAGUUUGAUCCUGGCUCAGAAUUAACGCUGGCGGUGUGCCUAACACAUGCAAGUCGAGCGAGAAAGGUCUUCGGACUGAGUAAAGCGGCAAACGGGUGAGUAACGCGUGAGAAUCUACCUUUUAGUGAGGAAUACCUUCGAGAAAUUGAAGUUAAUACUGCAUAUGACCCUUCGGGGAGAAAGAUGGCCUCUUUGCUGUCGCUAAAAGAUGAGCUUGCGUACUAUUAGCUAGUUGGUGGGGUAAAGGCCUACCAAGGCGAUGACGGUUAGCCGGCCUGAGAGGGCGAACGGCCACACUGGAACUUAGACACGGUCCAGACUCCUACGGGAGGCAGCAGUGAGGAAUAUUGCGCAAUGGGCGAAAGCCUGACGCAGCGACACCGCGUGGAGGAUGAAGGCCUUCGGGUUGUAAACUUCUGUUAAGUGGGAAGAAAAGCGAGGUUCUAAUACAGCCUUGAAAUGACGGUACCACUAGAGAAAGCACCGGCUAACUUCGUGCCAGCAGCCGCGGUAAUACGAAGGGUGCAAGCGUUAUUCGGAAUGAUUGGGCGUAAAGGGUGCGCAGACGGUAUGUUAAGUCAACUGUUAAAUUUCCCGGCCUAACCGGGAGCAAGCAGUAGA
rnacentral:rRNA from 1 species